GUUUUUCCGUAGGCGGGAACCGAGCUGAUUUAUUUUCUGGUUAUGAAUCUACAAAUAGCGUCCAUAACCGUUAUCAAUCAGCUCUGGUCUCGUUUGGAACA
rnacentral:pre_miRNA from 13 species